AAAACAGGGAUUGUGUGUAGGUAACCGAAAGAGUUCCUCGCAAAAACAACCAGGGGAAGAUGGGCAGUUGUGGUUCAUUUUCCGCCAUUGACUUCUCAACAGUCAUCUUCCCCACAUUU